rnacentral:tRNA from 1 species
GGGGGGAUGCCAGAGCGGCCAAAUGGGGCGGACUGUAAAUCCGUUGUCGUCAGACUUCGAAGGUUCGAAUCCUUCUCUCCCCA